AGCUCUGUCCAUCUCUCUCCUUGUGAUAGGGGCAGUUCUAGAAGCACUCCUUGGCUUCCAUUAAUAAAGGUUAGCUGUUACAUUAGGCAGACCAGUAUACUCU